rnacentral:rRNA from 1 species
AGGACGAACGCUGGCGGCGUGCUUAACACAUGCAAGUCGAACGAGGUCCAUUCAGUAGCAAUACUGAUGGAGGCCGAGUGGCGAACGGGUGAGUAACACGUGAGAAACCUAUCCUGGUCUCUGGGAUAACAGUCGGAAACAACUGCUAAUACCGGAUGCCGUCGGAGCGCUGCAUGGCGCACUGACGAAAGGGUUACUGGAUCAGGAGGGUCUCGCGGCCUAUCAGCUUGUUGGUGGGGUAAUGGCCUACCAAGGCAUCGACGGGUAGCUGGUCUGAGAGGAUGAUCAGCCACACUGGGACUGAGACACGGCCCAGACUCCUACGGGAGGCAGCAGUGGGGAAUCUUGCGCAAUGGCGAAAGCCUGACGCAGCAACGCGCGUGCGGAGAAGGCUGGUGUAACGCUUCAGAAGAACGAAUGACGUAUUCGAGAAGAAGGUGCGGCCAACUACGUGUCAGCAGCCGACGGUAA